rnacentral:rRNA from 1 species
UACGUAGGGUGCGAGCGUUAAUCGGAAUUACUGGGCGUAAAGCGUGCGCAGGCGGUUUUGUAAGUCAGAUGUGAAAUCCCCGGGCUUAACCUGGGAACUGCGUUUGAAACUACAAGGCUAGAGUGUGGCAGAGGGGGGUGGAAUUCCACGUGUAGCAGUGAAAUGCGUAGAGAUGUGGAGGAACACCGAUGGCGAAGGCAGCCCCCUGGGUUAACACUGACGCUCAGGCACGAAAGCGUGGGAAGCAAACAGG